rnacentral:lncRNA from 1 species
CAUUUUUACUUUUUCAUUAGUAUGCCUCACCAAGAAUGAGGAAGGGUACAAUAGAAUUUUGAGGAAGAAUUAAUUGGGAAGAGGAAAAAGAAAUAAAAUAUUAUAUCUUUGAGGAUGUAGAAUUAACAUGGAAGGCAGUAUGGUAUAACCACAUAUACAUAGGCUGAAAAUCGUUCUCAGUUUUAAGUUAGAUUAAAGAGAGCUCUAUAAUUUUUAAAGUGUGAUUCCAUUUUGAUGUGAAUCUAGUUUUUUGUUUUAUCAGUAAAAACUUUACUUUUACAGUAAUGAUAACGUGAUUUAAAGAAAAAUAAAUGUUUUUUAAGUUAGAAUUUUUCCAGUUUGCAUCUUUAUGAUUUCUCAUAGAUCCUUGGGAAACUUUUUCUUUUUCAAAGCAAUCUGAACCUUAUUCAAGUUUAAGAAACAUU